CUCAAAGUUUAUUUGGUAAAAUAAUAUGGUGACGAAGCACAAGUUUUAUGGUAUAGGUUGCCUCUACAAUUAAGAAGCGCCCACAUCUGCCCUGAAGCUAUGGAACAUAAUAAACUCUUUUAAAGUUAUAUACCCUAAGCCUGCUUUUAACUGAAAGUUUAUAGACGCGAUGAGCUCACUCCUGGAACCACAUCAUGAGAGGUAUUUUUCUUCAACCACUGCUGAGAUAAAGUUCUACACAUAAGAACCACUCCUGGAAAAGACACAGCUCUGGGCUGACCAAAGAUCAUGAUCCAUCUCUGUGCAACAUGGAAGACAAGACACCUCUAAGAAAAAACAUGGUGCAUGGAUUUCAGAUCAGAUAACGAAGGACACUUGUUGGCGGAUGGAGUAAUAAUAACAUGGUCAAGAAAUUUUGAAUGGAAGAGGAAUACAAACUGAAAAAUAGUGACACCG